rnacentral:rRNA from 1 species
CAGCGCCACGAGUGGGGAUCCUGUUUAUUUGGCCUAAAGCGUCCGUAGCUGGUUGAAUAAAUCUCUUGUGAAAUCGUUUAGCUUAACUAAACGACGUGCAGGAGACACUGUUUAGCUAGGGACUGGGAGGAGUAAGAGGUAUGCUGGGGGGAGCGGUAAAAUGCAAUAAUCCUCAGUAGACCACCUAUGGCGAAGGCAUCUUACUAGAACAGGUCCGACAGUGAGGGACGAAAGCCAGGGGAGCAAACCGGAUUAGAUACCCGAGUAGUCC